rnacentral:lncRNA from 1 species
GCUAACUACUGCCAGUCCUCCUCUUUUUUUUGCUAAGGAAGCCUGGCCCUGAGCUAACAUCCGUGCCCAUCUUCCUCUACUUUGUGUGUGGGACACCUACAACAGCAUGGCAUACCAAGCGGUGCCAUGUCCCCACCCGGGAUCGGAACCGGUGAAAGAGCAGACCCUAUGUGGGGCAAGUAACAGUUAUAACAGAAGAAGAGCAAGAGAGAUGAAACCACACAGUGGCUCUUAAAGUUGCUGUUUAGAAGAGAGAAAUGCCAUUUCUGCUCACAUUUCACUGGCUGAGGUAUGGAGGGCAGGGGGUGGUGCCUGUCGAAAUGGAGCUGGAGGAGGAGGCCCCCACUGCCUGAUCAGGUCCAUGCUACUUCCUUGCAGCAAAAGCUGGGCUCCAUAGCUACAGCCUAUAUUGUGGAUGCUCAAAGCUCCCCCUGAUAAACUAACAGGGGCACCCGUGUCUCCUUCCAUCGACUCUUUGCAGGUGGGCUCUGCCUCUGCCUGACGUCCCAGGGCCAGUUCAGUUGGACAGCAAAGUUGAAGAAAGUAUAGACAGUAACCACCAAGUUGAACUUUAAUAGGACAUUACUUUUUCCUGUUGUCAUGAAUGGCAAAGAUGUUUUGUGUUACACUG